CGAACGGUAACAGGAAGCAGCUUGCUGCUUUGCUGACGAGUGGCGGACGGGUGAGUAAUGUCUGGGAAACUGCCUGAUGGAGGGGGAUAACUACUGGAAACGGUAGCUAAUACCGCAUAACGUCGCAAGACCAAAGAGGGGGACCUUCGGGCCUCUUGCCAUCGGAUGUGCCCAGAUGGGAUUAGCUUGUAGGUGGGGUAACGGCUCACCUAGGCGACGAUCCCUAGCUGGUCUGAGAGGAUGACCAGCCACACUGGAACUGAGACACGGUCCAGACUCCUACGGGAGGCAGCAGUGGGGAAUAUUGCACAAUGGGCGCAAGCCUGAUGCAGCCAUGCCGCGUGUAUGAAGAAGGCCUUCGGGUUGUAAAGUACUUUCAGCGGGGAGGAAGGGAGUAAAGUUAAUACCUUUGCUCAUUGACGUUACCCGCAGAAGAAGCACCGGCUAACUCCGUGCCAGCAGCCGCGGUAAUACGGAGGGUGCAAAGCGUUAAUCGGAAUUACUGGGCGUAAAGCGCACGCAGGCGGU
rnacentral:rRNA from 1 species